CAGUACAGCAUAUUUUUCUUCUCUGAGGCCAAAAUAGCAGUGAGGUGUUGACAGCACCUCUGUAGCUUUAGGCUUUGAUAAUAGUUUUGGCUAUAGCAAAACCAAAGCGGGUUUAAGCUGGAGAGCUUGAAGAGUAAUGAAGCCAGCUUCUUGCUGACAGAUAUGUUCCUGAGCUUAUAGGAGUCCCUUUUCGGCCUCCUAAGAACAACUGCAUAAAUGGAUCCCACUUGCCACCAGCCUUCUUAGCUUAUGAAUCCCAGGAAAACAAAUAGCAGGAAGUGUCAAAACCUGUCAGACAUUGAGUGACUGAAGUUAAUUCUCUGUAAUUCAAAGACUUGAAGCAGCCCAGAAGAGUUAGAUGAUGCUUUACAUGGAAGCACUUUACAGAAUUUUUCCCUAACCUACAACCCAAAAAGAAGAAUUUCUCUGCACUUGGAGAAGAGAAAUAAGUAGAGACAACUCAAGGAAGGGCUUGAUGGAUUGUGUUGCAGAAGACUUGACAGAAGAGAAAAAAGGCAAUUGCAGGAUGAAAUCACU
rnacentral:lncRNA from 12 species